AUGGCUUCUCGGCCUUUUGGCUAAGAUCAAGUGUAGUAUCAAUUAUGAUUGACAAUACAAUAACCUGGGGGUGUUAUUAUUUGAUAUAAUUAGUUAAUGAUACUGAAAAAAAUUCAGAGUAGUAAAAAAUGCCACAUCAUGACUUCCUGCAGAUCACAAUCAGAUUCUAGGCAGCUCUACUGAUUGCCUAAGCAGCUUUUACUAU
ensembl:snRNA U2 U2 spliceosomal RNA